GGUGCAUUUUUUUCUAAUUGGUUGUAGGCCAUAUAAGUUUCAAGUAACAAGUAAGCAAGCAGAUGUGGGCAGCUGUUGUAUUGAACACAAAUAAUUAAAACAAAUCCAAAAUGAUUGUGACAAGAAUCAUAAAUAAUUUGCAAUGGUAGGAAACAAUAGCUGUGCAAGUGUGCAUGCAGAUGACAGCUAUAGUUUCCAAUAUUACUAAAUACAAAUUUUAGAAGAGCUCAGUCUGUUUUAAUAAAGUUAUAGCCUUAUUGAAAAAAAUUUAACAUCAAACAUUUUUACAUUUUUUUUGUUUCAGACUUGAGAACAAGUCAAUGUCACCACACUUGGAUUAUACAACCUCAAACCACACCUGCUGACCAUUCUGAACAGCUUAACACCCCAUUAUAGAUCCAGUAAUGGUUAAAGAUUUCAUCCAAUUCUCAAUACAUAACAGUUUCACUGUCAUGACUAUUCCUUCCACAGAGCUUUAAAAUUUAAUCUUUCAAAAUGAAUAUGCUCAAAACAUCAGGAUUUCUGGUUUUUUUUUUUCUAACUUUGAUUUUAGAUCAUUUUAUACUACUACAACAAAUAUUUGAAUUUUGCUGGCUUGAUCUCACUGUACAUAAAGAUGGACUAAUCAGUUUGAGUGGUCUGAAAUUACAUUUUAUUAAGUAUUUUAUGAACUAUCAUUCCCUGUAAACACACAUGCAAAAAAAAAAAAAAAAAAAAAACAAAA